rnacentral:ncRNA from 1 species
GAAAGCUGUGUGCAAUGAAAAAUGCAAGCACGGUUUGGGGAGGGUUUUUUUACCUUUUUUUUUUCAUUUUCACAAGGAAAUUAUCUACUCCAU